UACGGAGGGUGCGAGCGUUAAUCGGAAUUACUGGGCGUAAAGGGUGCGUAGGUGGUUGAUUAAGUUAUCUGUGAAAUCCCUGGGCUUAACCUAGGCAGGUCAGAUAAGACUGGUCAACUCGAGUAUGGGAGAGGGUAGUGGAAUUUCCGGUGUAGCGGUGAAAUGCGUAGAGAUCGGAAGGAACAUCAGUGGCGAAGGCGGCUGCCUGGCCCAAUACUGACACUCAGGUGCGACAGCGUGGGGAGCAAACAGG
rnacentral:rRNA from 1 species